rnacentral:rRNA from 1 species
UGGGGAAUAUUGCACAAUGGCCGGAAGUCUGAUGCAGCAACGCCGCGUGCGGGAUGACGGCCUUCGGUUUGUAAACCGCUUUUUCUCAUGACGAAGUUUUUUGACGGUAGUGGGGGAAGAAGCACCGGCUAACUACGUGCCAGCAGCCGCGGUGAUACGUAGGGUGCGAGCGUUGUCCGGAAUUAUUGGGCGUAAAGAGCUUGUAGGCGGUUUGUCGCGUCGAUAGUGCAAACUCAGUGCUUAACGCUGAGCCUGCUGUUGAUACGGGCAGACUAGAGGAAGGUAGGGGAGAAUGGAAUUCCCGGUGGAGCGGUGGAAUGCGCAGAUAUCGGGAGGAACAACGGUGGCGAAGGCGGUUCUCGGGGCCUUUCCUGACGCUGAGAAGCGAAAGCGUGGGGAGCGAACAGG